GAUUUAGUUAAAAGCUGAGGUGGACAAUAAUGUUAUACAUGAUACUAAUAAAUGGCACUGCCUGUUAAGGAGUAGCAUGCAGUGCUAGCAUCAUUUGAAGCACAUGAAAGGAAGGGAAAUGGCCUGGUUAUAGGUGACUCUUAUCAGCUGUCCGCCCAAAGUAAUUACAUGACCAAAUGUUUUCUUUCUCGGCUUCUAUUUUCUUUUUUCUCCACAUUAACAAACAGAGGUUGAGUUUUUACACAGUUACUACACCACUGCUGCUACCUGCAUUCUUCCUAUUAUGCUAAGUAUUUAAAGUAUUUAGGGCCCAGGAGCUUUGAUGUACUGGGAGCAGCCUAACGACACACCUCUGCAGUCAUUUGUGGGCAUUUUUCUUUCUUGUUAUGAAGUCAUAUUACUGCAGUAGGUCAGCAGUUCUACUUCUCUUUUUUUUUUCCAUACCACAAAUACUCCUGACCUCGCAUAAUCCUUCUAAAUGCGUUGCAGUGAACUCUUCACGAACCACCGCCGUGAAGAAAACACGCCGCGAAAAGCUCUGGCAGGGGAAAAAAAAGGUGUGCAGCCUAAACAUGAGCGGUGUCUGAGACUGCGGGUCAUACCUGAACACGUAGCAGUCUCCUCUGUGCCGCUUCUCCACCUUCAGCUUGCUGCCAUAAUUCCGGUGUUUACCUUCAGGACUAGUUGGAAAGUAUCGAUGGGGUUUCCACAGGGAGGCGGUGACGCAGCCACAAUGACGAAGCACUAAGUACUGGUGAUGGGUGGAGAUCAGAGGUGGGAGCUUUUCUUAAAAUCCUCAUGGGUUUCUUAUUUAGUUCUCACACAGUCUAUAAAGCAAAGAUGGUGCUUUUUUCUCACACACGCAAAGACAUUUUUGUUUGAGGCUGUCUUUACAGGUGAGUGUGUCCCUGCAGCGGCACAGCUGAGGGGACUGACUCGGGGUAGAUGGGGCUGCUCUGCCACCUAUAUGACAGCUUUACGCUGACUCCACACAGAGGCGCUGUUGUGCAUGCAUGUGUCAGAGUGCAGGUAAUGCUACAGUCACCAAGGAACUAUUAUAUUUACUGAGACGUGUUUCUGUAUAUGUAUCACGAGUUAAUAAAAGUUGUGUUACUGCAUGAUUUGUACCUCUGAUCUCAUCUGUUAUUGUGUGUCCUCUAAAAAUACACAAAUAAAUAAAUAAAUGGCUCCCUCUUGUCACGGCCUGUCAUGGGUUUGCAUUGGUCCCCCAGAGUAAGUGAAUGCACAGAGUACUAAAUCAGCCCUUACAAAUGUAGACAGCGCCCUUUGAUGACCUGGGAUGUCUUCUUUAAAAUGCAGAGUGAAAUCCCAAAAGGUGCAACAGACCUCGAUCUAACAGCUGAUGCAGCUGGAGCAUCUGUCUCCGCGUUACCUAAAGCCCAGAGGCCUAUGCUGGCUCUGUCCCAGCAGGAUAUUAUAACAUAUCCGGCCUUAUAGAUUUACUCCAGUGAUGUGGAGUGGAACAUUCACUUCAAACGACUUUAAACAUUAAAAAAGAAGAAGUUUGAAUUGAGAUUCGAUUUUUGUAAUCUAUAAAUUUAAGGAAACUUGAACUUCUGUUUGGUUUUCAAAUGCAAAU
ensembl:lncRNA